GACUCCGUAACUCAAGGUCAGAGUACCCGCCUUUUAAGCGGAGAGGUGCAGGUUCGAGUCCUGCCGGGGUCA
rnacentral:tRNA from 1 species